CACGUAGGGCGCAAGCGUUGUCCGGAAUUAUUGGGCGUAAAGAGCUCGUAGGCGGUCUGUUGCGUCCGCUGUGAAAACUCGGGGCUUAACCCCGAGCCUGCAGUGGAUACGGGCAGACUAGAGGUAGGUAGGGGAGAAUGGAAUUCCCGGUGUAGCGGUGAAAUGCGCAGAUAUCGGGAGGAACACCGGUGGCGAAGGCGGCAUCCUGGACCGACACUGACGCUGAGGAGCGAAAGCGUGGGGAGCGAACAGG
rnacentral:rRNA from 1 species